GGCGGACGGGUGAGUAAUGUAUAGGAACUUGCCUAGUAUGGGGGGACAACGUGUGGAAACGCACGCUAAUACCGCAUACGCUCUACGGAGGAAAGCGGGGGAUCUUCGGACCUCGUGCUACUAGAUGGGCCUAUAUUGGAUUAGCUAGUUGGUAGGGUAAAGGCUUACCAAGGCGACGAUCCAUAGCUGGUUUGAGAGAAUGAUCAGCCACACUGGGACUGAGACACGGCCCAG
rnacentral:rRNA from 1 species